rnacentral:rRNA from 1 species
AACUGGUGAGUAACACGUGGGUAACCUGCCCGGCCCUAGGGGAUAACACUUGGAAACAGGUGCUAAUACCGUAUAACAACUGAAACCGCAUGGUUUCAGUUUGAAAGAUGGUUUCGGCUAUCACUUCUGGAUGGACCCGCGGCGUAUUAGCUAGUUGGUGGAGUAAUGGUUCACCAAGGCAAUGAUACGUAGCCGACCUGAGAGGGUAAUCGGCCACAUUGGGACUGAGACACGGCCCAAACUCCUACGGGAGGCAGCAGUAGGGAAUCUUCCACAAUGGACGAAAGUCUGAUGGAGCAACGCCGCGUGAGUGAAGAAGGGUUUCGGCUCGUAAAACUCUGUUGUUGAAGAAGAACACAUCUGAGAGUAACUGUUCAGGUGUUGACGGUAUUUAACCAGAAAGCCACGGCUAACUACGUGCCAGCAGCCGCGGUAAUACGUAGGUGGCAAGCGUUGUCCGGAUUUAUUGGGCGUAAAGCGAGCGCAGGCGGUUUCUUAAGUCUGAUGUGAAAGCCUUCGGCUUAACCGGAGAAGUGCAUCGGAAACUGGGAGACUUGAGUGCAGAAGAGGACAGUGGAACUCCAUGUGUAGCGGUGAAAUGCGUAGAUAUAUGGAAGAACACCAGUGGCGAAGGCGGCUGUCUGGUCUGUAACUGACGCUGAGGCUCGAAAGCAUGGGUAGCGAACAGGAUUAGAUACCCUGGUAGUCCAUGCCGUAAACGAU